CCAAAGGCUCUUUUAAGAGCCGCUCACGGUUUCCUCGAAAAGUCUG
rfam:Ophiophagus hannah scaffold9066.1, whole genome shotgun sequence.